CACACAAAGUGAAUUCCGCCUUUAUACUACUUUUGGUAUUUUGACAGGGGCCGACGCGGGUACGUUUGGGGCUCAUACACUAGUUUAGUAGAUUGGCUUGUAAUAGUUGAACUUUUAGGAUGUUUGUUUUUAUUCUGGUGGUUUGUAUUAGGACCCUUCUUAGGGUCUCCCUUUUGGUUUUGGUUGUAAUUAUACGGAUGUAAUAGUAAGAGCAGGUACUUUUGGAGAAUGUAAUUAUAACUCUUUUGGGAUUGUAUAUAGUAUGUAUAGUACUCUUUUGGAU